rnacentral:lncRNA from 1 species
UCUCCGCAUUCAUUAUUGUCUGCGAAGCCUUCCUCCGCGUCAUCCCCCACUUCGGCCUGUGGCUGAAAACAUUUAAGGUGGAGCCGAAGAUGAUCGGGGGGCGUCAAGCGGAGUGCGGCGGGGCGACCAUAAGCAAGAAGGUCGAUGCCCCGUGGCUCGAAGGUUCCUUCCAAGAGGAACUGGGAUUGUGGCAGCAGGAGUGGUUUUACAUCACUGCUCCAAGGGGCAGCAAGCAAAAGCCGCCGCCCUCCUUCCGCCCGGGACCUCCACGGCAACUGAUGUCGUGGGUCAACCAAGGGCUCAACUGGGGGCCGUCCAAGGACGUGCCCGCACUGCAGGGCCGGAUUCGAGACCUCCAAACAAGGGAGAUCAUCCUGGUCAAGGUGAUGCAGGUCAUGCUAAUCAAGCACCUCCUACCCUGCAAACGUCGUCCUCUCCGUCUAUGGGAGUUCAAUCGUAUUCUCCAACAUUUUAUGGGUGCGACACCCACGGAGAUGUACAAGCUGUUUUUCGGACCGCAGGCGGCGUGUCCGGAUUCGGCCGAGGACGCAGGCCUAAGCCGCGAUCGCCCGGAUACUCAGGUAAAUAGCUCAGAGCCCGGACAUUCUAUUUGUACGCCUUUCAAAAGAUCGUCUCCUGACCCUUUAUUCUCUACAGGAAUGGGUGGCGCGAUCAAGGCUGAUAAGGUGUCCGGCCCCCCUCCCAGAGACCGCACUGGAGCCCGUGCUGGUCAGAAUGUUGGAGGUUGCGCCCACAGAGGGGGGCGACGGGGGAAAUAAAGGAGCUAAUACUUCGCCCAAAGGGGCGACUGAAGAGGAGGGAACCAAGGAUCCCUCCCUUCAGAGGGAGAAGAGGACCGCCUCCGAAGAUCCGGAGGUCAAAGCCCCUAAGCGUGGGAAGAAAUCCUCACCGGGGGGUCCGGCGUCUGGAGAGAAUCCGGACGCGCAAUCAUCGCCGAGGGACCAGCCCUCCAACGAGCCGUGAGUAUGAAAGAGGAAGAUUAAUAAGGAAGUACCUUCGUUUAUGCUUCUGUAGGUAACCAAAAUAUUUAUAUCGCAGUUCGGAUCUGCAGCCGUCUCAGAUGAGUUCAUCCUCGGGGGACCUUCUUCCGGAGAUGAUGGAGAGCGAUACGCCUCCGACUGCCGCGCCGCCAGAUGAGGCAGGCGAGCCCGAAGUGUCGUCACGGAGGGCGUCCCCGAGUCCGGAGGGGCCAGAGAGUUCGGCACCCACCAGAAUCCGGCCGGGAGAACUGAAGAGUUUGCUUGAGAGGGCGUCCAUUUCAGAAGAUCACCGCACAUUAAUGUGUAUGGUGGUCGGAAGGAUUUCGUCCGCUGAAAGCGGAUUGCGUAAUGCCGCCAUGAGCUUGCUGGCGGGAUUUGAGGUAUGCGAAAAUGAUGCACCCCUUUGUCUUUUAACAGUUUUGCAUAUAAAAAAUGCGCCCUGUAUAGAUAGUAGCCCCUGAGACUCGGUAGGUUGUCGAAAACGACAGCGUGCCGAGGAUCAAAAUAUCAACAUCUCAGGUAAUGCAUACCGCCGUUCUGAUACAGGUGGCGGAUAGUCCGGGGGCCAGCUGGACUAAUGAGUUUGCCGAAUUAAGUCGACAACUUGACGUGGCAGAUGCUGACAUCGCACUUGUCAACCAGCGACUUGACGAGUCGCAUGGUAAAUAAAUUCUCCACAGCCGCUUUAUUGAGUGGGUCAAAGCCCGCCUCUGAUAAGUUAUAUGCUGUUUAUACAGACAGUGCUGUUGCUGUGGAGAGCCUUCGGGCCGAACUUGCUCAAGCUAAGGAGCAAGCCCGAAGGAGUGAUGCGGCUGCCACGAGGGCGACCGAAGAAUUGAAGGCCGAAAAGGCUGCGCACUGCCUAAGCAGGGCGGAGGUGGCCGAAUUGGCCAAGAAAUUAAAGGAUGCUACCGACCGCAAUGAGGCUCUUGAAAAGGAGCGCUUAUCAUAGCGGGAAGACCUGAAGAAGGCCACUGCCGAAGCCAAGGAUGCCCGCUCUGCAAUGCGGGCUAUGAAGGAGGAGCUGCGCCAAGCCGGAGAAAUCGUGGCUGGCAAGCCUUUUCUUAUGCGUCGCCGGUUUAUGGAUGCUAAGUACGCUCAAUUUGAGCGGCUUUGGAGUUCGAAGGAUCCGUAUAUGGACUUGGCUGCGUGUGCGGCUGAUGCCGUUAAGCACUUCCGGAGCCAGGGGGAUCACGAGACGGAAGAGUUAUAUUGGUCUCAAUUCCGCAGUCCGGAUCGCCCUCUUCCGCUGACGGACAGGUUGGCCGAAUGGGCCGAACUAAAUAGACUGUCCGGACUGGCCAUGACUGACAUCGUGGCCCAUGUCUGGCCAGAGAGGUCCAAGGCGACGAGCUACUUCGGCCUACAGCAGCAAUUCCUUGGGGCGGUGCCACAUAUCAAGGAGAUGAAGCGGUCGGCCUGCAUCGAGGGCGCGCGGAUGGCCCUGGCCCGUGUGAAGGCACAGUGUCCGGAGAUGGACGCCACCGCUGUUGCUGCCCAGGGUUCGGAUGGAAACCGGCUUCCUGCCGAGCAUUAUUUCGGGGAAGUUAUGCGUGGCGCUCGUGUAAUAGAGUCGCAGUGCUCUAAAAUGUAACGUUCAAUUGAAUGCACCAACGUGUAGAUCAAUGAUUAUAGUAUGAAUGCUUUUUAUACUUGUGCCUCCAAGUAGUAAAACUUCUCCUAUGCGGCCGUUUACGUAUACUUGUGUAUAACCUGAAAGAUGCAGUCUUCGGCUUCAGCCCCCUCGCACAAGGUGCUGGGGUGUUCGCAAAAUAGCGUGUUUUCACACUUAAUCCGACGUCUCAGUCCUAUUUUAAGGAGGUGGUAGCGUAGCGAAUGAGGCAAUCCGGACUAUGAUGCUUUAUCUCUUUCACUUAGCCAAUGGAGCUCGAGGGUGGGGCUACGAUAUAGCCCCUGAUGACACCGCACAUCUCCGUACUCGGGGUGCGUAUGUGUCUGACCGGGAAACGGUCCUUCGUCAAAGCGGGGAAUUCUAAACAUUUCGAUAGUCGAUCAAGUGGCUGACCAGACUCUCGCUAUAUCAUGACAGUCAGUUUUCGGCUUUCUCUACUGAGGUGCUCGCCCAGCCGAACUGGGGCACAAUCGCAGUAGUUCUCCUGGUGCCGUGUUAGCCGGGUGAUACGGAACGUAAGGCAGCAAAACACAGGAGCCGGGCAAACCCAACAUUUGACCAAAGACAUGAUUCCGAGCUGAUGCAUAUAAUGCCUAACUCGAGACACCGAACACUCCUGAAGGUGUUCGGACUUUAUGAUAAUGGGCAGAAUUAUGCCCUAAGCCCCUUGUGUCCAGGUACGGGCAUGGUCUUCUGACGCGGCCGAUGCCAAAGCGUCAGGCUCCGCUUUGGCUAUAGGAAGGAGCCAAGGGAGAGUAACAACAAGAGACAGUAAUAAAAAGGUCUACGCAGGAUCUUAAUCUGAAAAGAAUCCUUGCAACGGGUCCCUACUGCACGUCUGCGCCUGUGUCUCCGUUGCGCCGUUAUCCUGGACGGGUACGCACGUUGUUCAUCUGUAGAAAGAGAGGAACGCUUAGUUUUAGAAACAGUUCGUGCGAAAAAUAUGCAAAAUAAGAAAUAUAAAUAAUUAAAGCAAGGUUUAUAUGAAACCGCGAUCGGUUGUGCGCGCAGCCCCCUGUGAAAAGGGUAUGCGGCUAGGGAGCCCCUAGCCUGCUGAGUCCGGAUUCGUCUAUCCGAGUCCGGGGUCUUUAAGUGACCCUUGCACUGAAAUGGCGCCAUGUGGACCGGGCAUCUUAAGUGUAAGAGACGCGUAAUGCGGUACGGCGUUGAAGCGGACAAAAGCCUUUCGUCCCAACAGUGCUUGAUAUUCACUAUUAAAUGGGACGAUAUGAAAAAUUAAAUUUUCGCGUCGAAAGUUGUUCGGUGAUCCGAACACGACUUCUAGUAAUAUCGAGCCUGUGCACUUGGCGGAAGGGCCAGGCGUCACUCCUUUGAAGGAAGUGUGGCUGUGUCAAAUUUUGGUAGGGUCUAUCCCCAUCCGACGGGUUGUGUUUGAAUAUAGCAGGUUUAAGUCACUGCCUCCGUCCAUUAGGACGUCUGUGAAUUGUAAUCCGUCUAUUAUCGGAUUCGAUAUCAGGGGUCCGUCCUGCGUUUCGAACGCUUCUGGAGUAGUCCCGGUGGUCGAAAGUGAUUGGUUUUGAUAUCCAAUCUCUUCGGUCUGCUGGGUUGGACCGUGCGAAGCUCUUUUUAGAAAGUGCCGCACUGUUUUUCCGUGUCCUCACAUGAAGUGAGUUUACUGCUUCGACCCCUUGUGGGAAAUUCUUUUGUUUUCCGGUGCUCUGCUAGUGGGGUUUGUCCUCUUCGCUCGACGCGUCGAGCCCCUUGUGUUCGGCAUUCAGUCUGCUGGACUGUUUAAAAACCCAACAAUCCCUGUGGGUGUGAUUUGCAGGCCUUCCGGGGGUACUGUGGAUUUGACAUAUCCGACCCAAAAUCUUCUUUAAGUUGGACAAUUCGUCACUGUCAUCCUUUAGAGGCUGUGCUUUACUAUUUGGCCGUGAGCUUUUAAAUCCGGCGUUGACUGCCGUGCUCUUUGGGCUUUUCUCUUUAUUCUGGCGUUGCUCUUUUCUGCGCCGUGAUUUUCCGUUUCCAUCUCUUAUCUCGGAUGUACUUGGGUCGCUGGUGCUGCUUCUUGCUAGCCAGCUAUCCUCCCCCGCACAGAAGCGGGUCAUGAGGCUUGUUAAUGCGGUCAUUGUCCUCGGUUUCUCUUGACCGAGGUGUCUGGCAAGCCAUUCGUCUCGGACAUUGUGCUUGAAAGCUGCUAAGGCUUCAGCGUCCGGACAGUCGACUAUUUGGUUCUUUUUGGUAAGAAACCUGUUCCAGAAUUUCCGCGCUGACUCUCCGGGUUGUUGAGUUAUAUGACUUAAAUCGUCUGCAUCCGGAGGACGGACAUAGGUCCCUUGAAAAUUUGCUCUAAACGCUUCCUCGAGCUCUUCCCAACUUCCAACUGUGUUUUCUGGGAGGCUUUUGAGCCAAUGACGGGCUGGCCCUUUGAGCUUGAGGGGUAGAUAUUUUAUGGCGUGGAGAUCGUCUCCUCUGGCCAUAUGUAUAUGCAAUAUAUAGUCUUCUAUCCAGACUCUAGGGUCUGUUGUUCCAUCGUAGGCUUCUAUGUUUAUGGGUUUAAACCCUGCUGGGAAUUCGUGAUCCAGCACCUCGUCGGUGAAGCAUAGUGGGUGUGCGGUGCCCCUGUACUUGUAUGUGUCGCUAUCGUUGGACACUUGACGUGUUGCUUUGCUUCUUGGGGCUUUCUUUUUGGGUUCGUAGAUGGACCUGGCUGGGCCAUUGGACGGUGGGGGCUCUAUGGCCUCCUUGUCGAAUUCUGGAAGCAGCUUACGCUUCGGGUAGCUCUUCGAUUGGUGGCCAUUGCCGUAUUUAUCUGCGGUUUUUAGUACUUUGCUCCAUCUUAUUCGGAGCGCGUCUUCCGCUGUUUUGAGCUUCCGUUUUUCCUUCUUCAGGCUUCUUGCUGUAGCGAUGAGCCUGCGCUUGAAAAGCUCUUGUUCGACGGGCUCCUCGGGCGCGACGAGUUCGUCGUCAUUGAGGCUUGUUUCAUCUUCGGAGGGAGGUAUAUAGUUAUGAUCCUCAACCUUUUAUUCUGUCGCCCUUUCGUGAGGGCUUGCUUCUGCAUCCUCCUGCGCUGAGUCUUGCUGGAGGGGGUUAUCUUCGGCACUCUCUGGGGUAUUGUUAUUUCCUGUGCCAAAAUCUAUAUUCUUGUUGUGGCGGAAUUUAGAGCGGCGCCGCUGACGCCGGCGUUUGGGCUGCUUCUUUAGAGAGUCUGUCUCCGCUGCAUCUUCGCCAUCCCCGUCUUUUGGGGUGUCCACCAUGUAAACGUCAUAUGACGAGGUGGCUUUCCAGUGCCCUGUAGGCGCUGGUUCCUGUUCGUCUCCAGCAUCGUCGUCCAUAGCGUCGAUGUCUUCGGAGUCGUAAUCUAGCAUGUCGGUUAAAUCGUUGACAGUGGCUAUAAAGUGGGUGGUGGGUGGGCUCUGAAUUUCUUCGUCGUCCGAACUCCAACCGUCCUAGCCAUAGUCCGGCCAGUAUUCUCCCGAUAGCGAGAGAUGCUUCAGGGAAUUCAGGAUAUCGCCAGAAGGCGAGUGCUGGAAGAUGUCCGCGGCGGUGAAUUCCAUAACCGGCGCCCAAUCCGGUUUGAUUGGUAGGGGCGCGGGAGGCUCAAAGUCCAGCGAGGAGUCCGGCGCCUCGGGAUCACGAGUUUCGCAGGGGACAAGAUUGGUAUUCGGCGACAUCGCCGUGGAUGUUGAAGCCCCCAGGGAGGCGUCUAUCCACCGGCCCUCGAUAUGGGCAAUCGGCUCCGGGCUAGUGGCCGGAGCGGAUCCGAGUGCGGCCACCAAAGCACUGUCCGGCGGCAGAGCUAGAUCAUGCCCAUCGUCACAGUGCGGCGCGCUUGGCUGUGGCUCGAGUCCGUCGAAGAUCAAGUCUCCGCGGUCAUCAGCCGUGUAGUUCAAGCUUCUGAAUCUGACCUGACGGCCAGGGGCGUAGCUUUCGAUCUGCUCCAGAUGGCCAAGAGAAUUGGCCCGCAGUGCAAAGCCGCCGAAUACGAAGAUCUGUCCGGGGAGAAAAGUCUCACCCUGGACAGCAUUGAUGGUUGAAGAUGCCAUCGAGCCUAUCGGGGACGACACAGAGGAACUCUCAAUGAAAGCACCAAUGUCGGUGUCAAAACCGGCGGAUCUCGGGUAGGGGGUCCCGAACUGUGCGUCUAGGCGGAUGGUAACAAGAGACGAGGGACACAAUGUUUUUACCCAGGUUCGGGCCCUCUCGAUGGAGGUAAAACCCUACGUCCUGCUUGAUUAAUAUUGAUGAUAUGGGUAGUACAAGAGUAGAUCUACCACGAGAUCAAGGAGGCUAAACCCUAGAAGCUAGCCUAUGGUAUGAUUGUUGAGAUGUAAUGUUUGUCCUACGGACUAAGGCCCUCCGGUUUAUAUAGACACCGGAGAGGCUAGGGUUACACAGAGUCGGUUACAAUGGUAGGAGAUCUACAUAUCCGUAUUGCCAAGCUUGCCUUCCACGCCAAGGAAAGUACCUUCCGGACACGAGCCGGAGUCUUCAAUCUUCUAUCUUCGUAGUCUGGGAGUCCGGCGGAUAUUGAUAGUCCGGCUGUCCGGACACCCCCUAGUCCAGGACUCCCUCACCCUUCCUUUCGCACAAAAGGAAACUAACGCAAAAGGUAACCGCCGCACUGUUGGGAAUGCCACCUCGCUCCGCCCCAAUCGCCUCGACCCGCAGCACAUUCACAACUUCGAUCCCAUCGCAUCGAGUCGUUGCACCGAGUUGCCGCGCCUUCAAGACUCUGCCCCCAUCACCUUGAUCCGCCACCCCGCACAUCUCCAUGCCGCCCCACCCAUCACCUCACCUGGCCUCGGCCAACAGCGAAGCCGUCUCCUACCUGGCCUGGCCGGCCGGCUGGCCGGGACGCCGCCUCCUACACCGCCUGGCUGGCCGUCAGGGAGACGCCGCCGCGCCGCCUGGCUAGCCCUCGGGUACGCCACCUAAACCGCUUUGGCCGGACGUCGGUGGCGCCUCCUAAACCAUUCUCAGUUCACAUCUCCAUGUCAUCUCGCACAGUUAGGGGACACGCUGCCUUAAAAACGGAGUCGCCUAGCCGGAGGCCUGUCAUCUCUGCUCUCUUUCUUUCUCUAUUUCCGCAUAUGCAUCCGGCUUUAAAUUAAUAAAGCCCCAAGGCAGCAUCCACACAAGGUUUUUAACCUUACAAACCAAAUAAACAUAGGCUCCACGGUCUCGACGUCCCGACAAAGGUAGGGUACCAAAUAGCUAAAGUAUCGCAAAAGCGGAGCAAAGCAUAAAACUGAAUGCAAAAGCAUCAAGCUUGUUCUCCUUCUUGUCUCGAUUUCACCAUGCACAGCUUGAUCUGCUCCAGAAUCUCGAUCAUGCGGUCAUCAUCACGCUGCUUCCCCAAUGGCGCCCAAGCCUGUAAGAAAGUGUGACAUUUGAAAAGUACAUCAGUUGGGUGUGCAGGGAACUUGUGUUCAAAGGUAAUUUUGUUCCGCACCGACCAAAGCGACCAAAGCAGCGCCCCUACGCAACGCCAGACAACCCUCGCAUUGGCACCCCUCUAUGCCGACAGCAAGUUCAGCAAAUCAUCGCUAGAUUGCGGGUUCCAAUUCUGCUUGAAAGAAUCUCUAACCGCGCUCCACGCAAAGCUAUCAAGACAUCUGUCGGUGUCAAAACCGGCGGAUCUCAGGUAGGGGGUCCCGAACUGUGCAUCUAGGCGGAUGGUAACAAGAGACGAGGGACACAAUGUUUUUACCCAGGUUCGGGCCCUCUCGAUGGAGGUAAAACCCUACGUCCUGCUUGAUUAAUAUUGAUGAUAUGGGUAGUACAAGAGUAGAUCUACCACGAGAUCAAGGAGGCUAAACCCUAGAAGCUAGCCUAUGGUAUGAUUGUUGAGAUGUAAUGUUCGUCCUACGGACUAAGGCCCUCCGGUUUAUAUAGACACCGGAGAGGCUAGGGUUACACAGAGUCGGUUACAAUGGUAAGAGAUCUACACAUCCGUAUUGCCAAGCUUGCCUUCCACGCCAAGGAAAGUACCUUCCGGACACGAGCCGGAGUCUUCAAUCUUCUAUCUUCGUAGUCUUGGAGUCCGGCGGAUAUUGAUAGUCCGGCUGUCCGGACACCCCCUAGUCCAGGACUCCCUCAGUAGCCCCUGAACCAGUCUUCAAUGACGAUGAGUCCGGCGUGCAUAAUGUUCGGCAUAGCAAGGCGGGUUCCUUCCUUGAAUAAUCUAGAGAAGAUGAUGAACACCAGGAUAGUGUCCGGCUCUGCAAAAGUAAUUUCCAUGUUCCACCGUAGAGAGAAUAAAACAUAUACACUGAUUCAAUCUGCUGACGUAUUAUGCGGCGUGUCAUCACACCGCUACCAAGCCCCUUGGCACGUCUUGUCAAAGCAGAGAUCGUGUCCCCUUUAUUCCGGGAUCCUCAUCAAUACGUGCGUGGGUAACCCAACCGUUCCCGUCGCCGCGCCUCCUCUAUCGAAGGGGGAAUCCUAAACGGUCACGGAGACGGCCCUUGGUAUUUCUUCCCCUUUAUAAGAGGACCAAGGCCUGUCCUUGUCUUUCAACCUCGCAUCGAAUCUUUCCUCCGCUCCCAGUUCCAACUCCUAGAGCUUCAGAUUCGAGCGCUUCGGAUCCACAACAAUGUCCGGCUCCGACCUCCAGGGCCGGUGGAUGCCCUCCUCCGUCACGGAGGAGGACAUAUUGAAGUUGCGAGAGGCCAAGUACCUGGCCUAUGAGGUUUCGCACAGGUUGCCUGCCCCAGGGCAGGCCGUGCCAGCCCCCGAGCCCGGCGAAUAUGUCGUUUUCGUAUCUCACCUCCGUCGGGGAUUGGGUUUCCCGACGGAUCCCUUCGUGAGAGGGCUCCUGUUCUACUACGGGCUGGACUUCCACGACUUGGCACCGGAGUCCAUCCACCACAUCUCCGCAUUCAUUAUUGUCUGCGAGGCCUUCCUCCGCGUCAUCCCCCACUUCGGCCUGUGGCUGAAAACAUUUAAGGUGGAGCCGAAGAUGAUCGGGGGGCGUCAAGCGGAGUGCGGCGGGGCGACCAUAAGCAAGAAGGUCGAUGCCCCGUGGCUCGAAGGUUCCUUCCAAGAGGAACUGGGAUUGUGGCAGCAGGAGUGGUUUUACAUCACUGCUCCAAGGGGCAGCAAGCAAAAGCCGUCGCCCUCCUUCCGCCCGGGACCUCCACGGCAACUGAUGCCGUGGGUCAACCAAGGGCUCAACUGGGGGCCGUCCAAGGAUGUGCCCGCACUGCAGGGCCGGAUUCGAGACCUCCAAACAAGGGAGAUCGACCUGGUCACGGUGAUGCAGGUCAUGCUAAUCAGGCACCUCCUACCCUGCAAAUGUCGUCCUCUCCGUCUAUGGGAGUUCAAUCCGGAGGGACCUCGUAUUCUCCAGCAUUUUAUGGGUGCGACACCCACGGAGAUGUACAAGCUGUUUUUCGGACCGCAGGUGACGUGUCCGGAUUCGGCCGAGGACGCAGGCCUAAGCCGCGAUCGCCCGGAUACUC